GACGAACGCUGGCGGCGCGCCUAACACAUGCAAGUCGAGCGAUGACACUUUAACAUAACCCUUCUGGGCGAAGAUAAAGUGGAUUGGCUGCGGACGGGAGAGUAACACGUUAGUAACCUGACUUAUACAUUGGGAUAGCCUCGGGAACCCGGGAUUAAUACCACAUAAAAUCAUAAUGACACAUGUCAUAACGAUCAAAACUCCUAUGGUCUAGGAUGGACUCUCGUCCCAUUAGCUAGUUGGCAGGGUAAAAGCCUCCCAAGGCGACGCUGGGUAGCCGGGAAGAGAGAGUGGGCGGAGACAUCGAAGCUAGGAAGCAGUCCAGACUCUUACGCGAGGGAGGAGAGGGGGAUAGUGCAACAUGGAGGGAGCUAUGAAGGAGCGACGCCGGGAAAACGAAGAUGGUUGGCGAGACGUAAAGUUCUUUUAUAUGGGAAGGUAAUGACGGUACCAAAAGAAAAAGCCCCGGCUAACUACGUG
rnacentral:rRNA from 1 species